rnacentral:rRNA from 1 species
AUGAAAGUGACAAAACAAGAGACUCUCUAUCAUGAAGAUCAUGGCGCUACUUUGAAGCACAAGUGUGGAAAAAAAGAUAGUAGCAUUGUCCCUUUUUAUUUUCUCUCUUGUUUUUGGGCCUUUUUUUUAUUGGGACAAUGCUCUAUGAAUGAUGAUCAUCACACUUCUAUUUAUUUACAACUCAAUGAUUACAACUCAAUACUAGAACAAAGUAUGACUCUAUAUGAAUGCCUCCGGCGGUAUACCGGGAUAGGCAAUGAAUCAAGAGUGACAUGUAUGAAAAAUUAUGAACGGUGGCUUUGCCACAAAUACGAUGUCAACUACAUGAUCAUGCAAAGCAAUAUGACAAUGAUGAACAUGUCAUGA